AAAUCCCAUUCAGUAAGGUGCUAACCACACCACUGAUAGCGAGUCUUGGGCGGAUAAAUGGUAACAUUAUUCGUUAAGCGUAGACAGCAAGGCGGCAGGGUCGGAAGGCAUUACAGCUCCGAAAUCUUUCUAAUAAAACUAAUGUGCCGACAGUUUUCAACCACUGGAAGGCAACACGAUGGUAUGAGCAUUUUGGUGAGCCUACCAUCGGCAUUACGGGGUCGUAG
rnacentral:ncRNA from 1 species